rnacentral:rRNA from 1 species
CGGCGGACGGGUGAGUAACGCGUGGGUAACCUACCCUGUACACACGGAUAACAUACCGAAAGGUAUGCUAAUACGGGAUAAUAUAUUUGAGAGGGCAUCUCUUGAAUAUCAAAGGUGAGCCAGUACAGGAUGGACCCGCGUCUGAUUAGCUAGUUGGUAAGGUAACGGCUUACCAAGGCGACGAUCAGUAGCCGACCUGAGAGGGUGAUCGGCCACAUUGGAACUGAGACACGGUCCAA